rnacentral:rRNA from 1 species
CGUCUAUAUACGUAUAGCAUAUCAAUAAGCGGAGGAAAAGAAACUAACAAGGAUUCCCUUAGUAACGGCGAGUGAAGCGGGAAGAGCUCAAAUUUGAAAUCUUCAAGGUUUUACCUUGACGAAUUGUAGUUUAAAGAAGUGUUUUCUGUUGAAGUUUCGGUAAAAGUUCUUUGGAAUAGGACAUCAUAGAGGGUGAGAAUCCCGUAUUUGACCGUUAUUUUCAGCUGUGUGAUACACUUUCAAAGAGUCGGAUUGUUUGGGAAUGCAGUCCAAAAUGGGUGGUAAAUUUCAUCUAAAGCUAAAUAUUGGCGAGAGACCGAUAGCGAACAAGUACCGUGAGGGAAAGAUGAAAAGAACUUUGAAAAGAGAGUUAAACAGUACGUGAAAUUGUCAAAAGGGAAGCGUUUGACACCAGUGUUGUUUUCUCGAAAAUCAAUUAAAAAGUGUUGGAUUUUGUAUUGUUAAGACCUUAUCAGCUUACUGUACUCUUUUCCUGCACUUUUUAAUGCACUUUUCGUUUAACAAGUCAACAUCAGUUUCUUUUGUUGUAAAAAGGUCAUUGGAAGGUGGCUUUCUUUUCGGAGAAAGUGUUUAUAGCCUUUGAUCCCUGCAAUCGGAGAGACUGAGGUCUGCAGCGUAGACUCCUUCGGGGUUAGAUACAUUUGUGCUAAGUUAUAGCCUUUCAUAGACAACUUGUUGACUAUGAUUCAGUCAUGUAGCUUACUCGCUUAUGCUAUUUUACCUACGCUUAGGAUGUUGACUGAUAUGUAGUCGU